UUCAGCACCCUUGGGUUUGUGUUUUCUUGGUUGCCAUGGGAGCUGAUUAUUUUCACCUGCCUCUGAUUCGUAUUCGGGACCCUCACCUGCUUCCAGGCACUAAUCAGAGAGUCUCCCCCCUGGUCAUCAGUUGCAGGUGUGCUGCCGGUCUUCUGAGCCCACCUGUUCCCAAUCAACAACCUGACUUAAACCCUGGAUCCCCACCCAGCCAGUGCCAGUUCGUCCGUUGCCUGUGAUGGUGAACAGACCUUGACCGAGUCUUCCUGGAGCUGAUUUUGUUACACUUGAAUUAUUUUCUCCAGUGAUUUUUUUGUUAUUAAAUAGACUGUUUACUGAUCCGCAAUUGGAUUCUUUUUUUGAGACCUUAACCGAACAAACUGGCCAUGAUGAAUCCAGCGGCUCUUCCCCUUAGUGACGACACACCUGCGGCAAUCCAGGAAGCUGUUUCACAUCAAGGCAUCCUGCUUGGCCUGCAUGAACAGACAGUAUGACUUCUCGUUUAAGGAAAUCAGGACCUUGUAUCACAGAUGAGUCUACUAAUGCACCAAAUGUCUGUCUUGACAAAAAAAAAUUCAUCCACAGCCUCUGCCCAGUCACCUUUGACCCCGGACUCACCUCACGCCUCUGCCACAACUCCCGAAGUUCCCGUGCCAAACCCUGAACCUUAUAAUGGGGACCUGAGCAGCUGUCUGUCACGAUCCGCGACUCGGAUCGUUUAUGGUUUUGCCUUUUGAUAUGUUUUUCAUCAUGUUUGUUUCUAGACUCUGCCGUUCCUUGUGUUUGAGCACUUCCUCGUUUGUUUUAGUCACCAUGGCAACGUAAUGUGCUCCUCCUCACGGGCUCCUGUCACACACCUGUUUCUGAUUAUUAUUUGUGUAUUCAAGCCCACCUGAUUCCUUAGUUCGUCCUCGGUCCAUUGUUUGCUUUAUGCAACACAACACGUAUGUAAUCUCUGCUUAUCCCUGCUUUUGUUGUGCUAAGUUCCGUCUUAGCUUCGCGUGCGUUCGGCACAUCACCUUUUGGACUUUCUGUAUCCUGCUAAGUUUAGCUUUAGCUUCCAGUGCGUAGUCAUGCGCUUUAUUUUCCAUUUUGUACCAGUGUUCUUUUGUUUUAUUAUAUUGAAAUCAAAUUCUUACCUGCACUCCUGCCUGACUGGUCGUGUGCAUCCGAGAGGUGGCAACUUCGCGCAGUAAAUGCGCCGCGUACACGUGACGCUGUCGAGGCUUUCUUCUGCAGUGUUCCAAAGUUUUUCAACUCAGACCAACAACUUUCUCUGCAGAUAAGUCUAAAAUUUUGUUUAUGGUUGGGUUGCUGCGUGGCAGGGCGUUAGCAU